UCCUUGGUGGUCUAGUGGUUAAGACUCUGCACUCCUAAUAUAGGGGCCACAGGUUCAAUCCCUGGUCAAGGAA